UAAAUACUCCCGAGAGACCGAUAGCGAACCAGUACCGUGAGGGAAAGGUGAAAAGCACUUCGAACAGAAGAGUGAAAUAGUUCCUGAAACCGUGCGCCUACAAGCGGUCGGAGCUCGUUAAUGAGUGACGGCGUGCCUUUUGCAUAAUGAACCUACGAGUUGCCUUUGCCGGCAAGGUUAAGUGUGACGACACACGUAUCCGAAGCGAAAGCGAGUCUGAACAGGGCGUAUAGUCGGCAGUGGCAGACGCGAAACCAAGUGAUCUACCCUUGGCCAGGUUGAAGGCUGGGUAACACCAGCUGGAGGACCGCACCAAUAAGCGUUGAAAAGCUUCUGGAUGAGCUGAGGGUAGGGGUGAAAGGCUAAUCAAACUUGGAGAUAGCUCGUACUCCCCGAAAUGCAUUUAGGUGCAGCCUUGCGGGUUACUGAUGUGAGGUAGAGCGACUGAUAAGAUGCGAGGGCUUCACCGCCUAUCAAGUCUUGACAAACUCCGAAUGCGCAUCAGUUCUACCGCAGGAGUGAGGGCAUGGGUGCUAAGGUCCGUGCCCGAGAGGAGAAGAAUCCGGACCACCUGCUAAGGUCCCGAAAUGACAGCUAAGUUAAACUAACGAAGUCUGACUGCUAAGACAGCUAGGAUGUUGGCUUGGAAGCAGCCAUUCAUUUAAAGAGUGCGUAACAGCUCACUAGUCGAGGAGUCGGGCGUGGAUAAUAAUCGGGUAUCAAGUUGUCUACCGAAGCAGUGGGAUCAUUUAUAUGAUCGGUAGGGGAGCAUUCCAGUCAGCGUCGAAGGCGUACCGUGAGGUAUUCUGGAGCGUCUGGAAAAGCAAAUGUAGGUAUAAGUAACGAUAAAGGGGGCGGGAAACCCCCUCGCCGAAAGACUAAGGUUUCCUGAUCAACGCUAAUCGGAUCAGGGUCAGUCGGGUCCUAAGGCUCAGCCGAACGGCGAUGCCGAUGGCAGAAACGGUUAAUAUUCCGUUACUACCUUCAGGAGUGACGUGGAGACGCAGUAGUGACAGUGCCGCCAUCUGACGGAAUAGAUGGUUGAAGGGUGUAGGAGUCGAUCAUGGCAGGCAAAUCCACCAUGAGAUCCGAACCUGAUAGUAUGCCGCGUCCUUCGGGACAAGGCAAUAGUGCGCGUAAGCAUGCUGCCGAGAAAAUCCGCUAAACUUAAUCCUGCAGGUACCCGUACCGCAAACGGACACACGUAGUCGGGAUGAAUAUUCUAAGGCGCUUGAGUGAUUCACGGUUAAGGAACUAGGCAAACUGACCCUGUAACUUCGGGAUAAAGGGUCCCUACCCUUUUAUGGGAGGGCGCAGAGAAUCGGUCCAGGCAACUGUUUAACAAAAACACAGGGCUGUGCCAAAUCGAAAGAUCCAGUAUACAGCCUGACACCUGCCCGGUGCUGGAAGGUUAAGAGGAGAUGUCAUCGAUAAGAGAAGCGUUGAAUUGAAGCCCCAGUAAACGGCGGCCGUAACUAUAACGGUCCUAAGGUAGCGAAAUUCCUUGUCGGGUAAGUUCCGACCUGCACGAAUGGUGUAAUGAUCUGGACACUGUCUCAACCGUGAGCUCAGUGAAAUUGUAGUAUCGGUGAAGAUGCCGAUUACCCGCGAUGGGACGAAAAGACCCCGUGAACCUUUACUAUAGCUUAUCAUUGAAUCUGGGCACGUGAUGUGUAGGAUAGGUCGGAGGCUUUGAAGCAGGUACGCCAGUAUUUGUGGAGCCGCUGUUGAAAUACGACCCUUUAUUUGUUUGGAUUCUAACCCGUGGAACGGGGACAUUGAUUGGUGGGUAGUUUGACUGGGGUGGUCGCCUCCAAAAGCGUAACGGAGGCUUCUAAAGGUGCCCUCCGGCCGAUUGGUAACCGGCCUUAGAGUGUAAUGGCAUAAGGGCGCUUGACUGGGAGACUAACAAGUCGAUCAGGUAGGAAACUAGAGCAUAGUGAUCCGGUGUUUCCGUAUGGAAGGGACAUCGCUCAAAGGAUAAAAGGUACUCCGGGGAUAACAGGCUGAUCCCUCCCAAGAGCUCAUAUCGACGGAGUGGUUUGGCACCUCGAUGUCGGCUCGUCACAUCCUGGGGCUGGAGAAGGUCCCAA
rnacentral:rRNA from 1 species